ensembl:lncRNA
GAGCAAUUCCUGCAGAGUGAAGUGGCUGAAAACCAGACUGCUGAGUGUCAGAGAGGGAGGAGAGCAUCUGAGCAACCCUAACACUCAGCAUCAAUCGACUUUUGGUGAUGGUGGUGUCAAACGGAUCGGAGGUGAUCAAGCUUCCUUCUUCUGAGGGCAGACUGCCAGUACCAAAGUGGUGUUGCUAUGGAGAAUUCCAAGUACAGUGUUGGACAAUCACGGCCUUUUAACCUCUGCCAUGGACAGUAACUACAGCCAGCAUGUCGUCCAUGCUUUAACCAAGAAACGGGCAUAGCAUGGAAAGCAGUGCUCCAUUGGAAGGUGAAAAGCCAUCACCUUCAAGAGGAGGAAGGCAAUGACAAGAUCAACCACAGUCCAGGAUGGUUGUGUUAAAGCCAUGUUGUCCCUGCUCCAACGUCCUGGAGUCUAUGGGCUGGAGGCAACGCUUUAAGAGUUUUAACAAAUGUGGAAUUGCAAUGUUUGGACGUCUGGAGGUCUAUAUCCUAUGUACCACACGGUACAAAAUGUGCUGG